AGAGAGAGAGAGAUUUAACAUGUAACUGUGAUCCUCGCUUUUGUAAUAGUGAUCCACCUUCAACACACGCGAUAUGCCCCAAUUUCUCUAACAUGUAAUGGUGAUCAGGGAUCCCUAUUACAAUUGUAAUAGUUAUCCAAACACACGCAAUGUGUGCAUUUACACGCAGCAUGCCAUAGGCAUAUCGAUACACACACACAAUAUCGAUAUGUGUGUGAUCUCAUCAAACUUUGUGCCAAUGAGUGCGGUGACUAAAGCUGAAACUUGAAAGGCUAAAAUUGAUUGCUUCAAAUAAUCUACGUUGAUGGAGGGCCAGCAAGUUCUUCAAGAUCUCUCUAAUGAGUCCAUGAGACGUACAUGUAGAAGAUAACAUGAAUAAUGGUGUUAGAGCCGAACCUCCUGAAGAUGAUUGCAAUUUGGCAGCAACUGUGGCCAAUAAAGCAACUAAAAAGAAGCAGAGAAUUAAGAGAUGAUGCCCAAUGCGUCCCACGUUGACAGAUCAGAUGUCCCGCCACCUGAUUUAUAAACACAAGGUUUCCGACAAAGACAAGAGACUAACCCUACUCCAGCUGGCAUGAG